rnacentral:rRNA from 1 species
GUCGAGCGAGCAGUAUUCUUCGGAUGAAUUGCUGAGCGGCGGACGGGUGAGUAACGCGUGGGUACCUGCCCCAUACCGGGGGAUAACAGCUGGAAACGGCUGCUAAUACCGCAUAAGGCUGCAUGGCAAAAACUCCGGUGGUAUGGGAUGGGCCCGCGUCUGAUUAGGCAGUUGGCGGGGUAACGGCCCACCAAACCGACGAUCAGUAGCCGGCCUGAGAGGGCGACCGGCCACAUUGGGACUGAGACACGGCCCAAACUCCUACGGGAGGCAGCAGUGGGGAAUAUUGCACAAUGGGGGAAACCCUGAUGCAGCGACGCCGCGUGAGCGAAGAAGUAUUUCGGUAUGUAAAGCUCUAUCAGCAGGGAAGAUAAUGACGGUACCUGACUAAGAAGCCCCGGCUAACUACGUGCCAGCAGCCGCGGUAAUACGUAGGGGGCAAGCGUUAUCCGGAUUUACUGGGUGUAAAGGGAGCGUAGACGGCAAGGCAAGUCUGAUGUGAAACCCAGGGCUUAACCCUGGGGCUGCAUUGGAAACUGUCUGGCUCGAGUGCCGGAGAGGUAAGCGGAAUUCCUAGUGUAGCGGUGAAAUGCGUAGAUAUUAGGAGGAACACCAGUGGCGAAGGCGGCUACUGGACGGUACUGACGUUGAGGCUCGAAAGCGUGAGGAGCAAACAGGAUUAGAUACCCUGGUAGUCCACGCCGUAAACGAUGACUACUAG